UACGGAGGAUCCAAGCGUUAUCCGGAAUCAUUGGGUUUAAAGGGUCCGUAGGCGGCCCGAUAAGUCAGUGGUGAAAUCUCCCGGCUCAACCGGGAAAUGGCCAUUGAUACUGUCGGGCUUGAAUUAUUAGGAAGUAACUAGAAUAUGUAGUGUAGCGGUGAAAUGCUUAGAUAUUACAUGGAAUACCAAUUGCGAAGGCAGGUUACUACUAAUGGAUUGACGCUGAUGGACGAAAGCGUGGGGAGCGAACAGG
rnacentral:rRNA from 1 species